UUCAAAUACGUUUAAGGCCAUAACUUUUGCUUCCACCGUCUCUGAAACUCUCCUACUACUUACUUUCUCACUCCUUUGUUUUUAUCUUCGAACCUUUGUGGGUUUUUCCCUUUUAAGUUUUGUUUGCCCGUAUUUGUAGUGCUUUUGAUAUUCUAUUGUUCAGUACCACCUCUGUUUCCUGUUGAAGUAAGGAAAAACUCAGGUUAAAAUCACCUGGCGCUGGGUUCUUCACUGCUACACCCGUGAACUGCUCUUUGGUCGCCCUCAAUGCUAAUGGUGAUCCCCAAGGUUCAACAAAUGAAUGAAACUAUGAUCGUACCCGGAUAGAGAUGAUGGUCUUCCUCUGAUGUCUCCAAGCCGGCCAUAAUAGAAUAGAUAGUUCGGUUAGGAACUACUCAUGAUUCUAACCGUAAUAUAAAGAGCAUAUGCAGAUUGUACUACAGCUUGCGCUGACGGUUCCAAAGAUGUAUAUGAUAGAUGCGUAAUAGCUGCCCAUGUUUGUGCUAAUAGCAUGAUCUAUAAUGCAACUGAAUGGUUUAUCUGAUAUAAGGUUUCAAUUUUUUCUAGACGUGGAAUGGAAUUGGUCCGGCUAAUGAAAAGAACUUCUUGUUACAACUAUAGGGUACCAACUUGGCAAGUUUUCUUUACAUACCAUUGAAACAGAUUAAAAGUUAAUAGUG